UACAGAGGGGGGCAAGCGUUGUUCGGAAUUACUGGGCGUAAAGGGCGCGUAGGCGGCCCUUCUAAGUCGAACGUGAAAUCCCUGGGCUCAACCCCAGGAACUGCGUCCGAUACUGGAAGGCUUGAAUCCGGAAGAGGGGGGCGGAAUUCCCAGUGUAGCGGUGAAAUGCGUAGAUAUUAGGAAGAACACCAGUGGCGAAGGCGGCUCACUGGUCCGGUACUGACGCUGAGGUGCGAAAGCGUGGGGGGCAAACAGG
rnacentral:rRNA from 1 species